CAACUACUCCCUCUGUCCCAAAUUUCUUGUCUUAGAUUUUUCUAGAUACAGAUGUAUCUAAUACUAAAAUGUGACUUGAUACAUCCGUAUCUAGACAAAUCUAAGACAUGAAUUUUGGGACGGAGGGAGUACUUU
rnacentral:pre_miRNA from 1 species